rnacentral:lncRNA from 1 species
GUGCGGACUUUCUGUAAAAAGGUUCACAUGUUCGGACUUUUUGGGAUGAACUUGAAAAAAGGAGCCUGAGGAGGAUUCAGUUUCUUCAGACAGUUCAUUGUAUCAUUUUGUCGCUCCUCUGACGUAAGAAUGUAUCUUGAUUUCAACGUGCGCCCUCUUCUCCAUAUAACUCCAUGCUUUUCAAGGCUCAUGUGGAAAUGAAGAUACACCCUUACGUCAGAGGAGCAAGGAUUUGUCUGCGUAUUCCAAGUUCUAAUCUGUUAGUUGUGGUUCAUUCCACUACUAUUUAUGCCGUCCAUUUUCCCAAUCCAAAUUUCUGAACUAUUUACCUUCAAUGCUGAAGGAUUCUCUAACUCGGUGUUGAAGAAGAAGAAACUGUCAGUUCCUGUGUUCAGGAAGCAAACUUUAGGAAAACAUGAGGAAAAGGUAAUAAAAAGAAAAGAGUGUCAGGGAACCCCCACUAGAAAAGGCUAUUCUUGGGAACAGAAGGAAAAAGUGAUUUGGAGUCAAUUUAAAGGCAAUGAUUUUUAUCAUGAUGAGGUACCAAUAGACAUCUUGAUAAUUUAGAAAAUGGUUGAUUUCUUUUUAAUUCCAAUUCUAAAAUUUGAUUAAACUCUUUCAUCAGUAAGUGUCAAGUUUCAUCUUUUUUUAUCCUCUCCAGAAACAUUUUAUAUCAUCAAUUGCUAAUUUGUAUGAUCUCUUUUUUGCGUUUUAGAUCUCUCUCUUAAUCUAUGUCAAAUGGCAGAUACCGCAGAGGAAGCGAGUAAUAAUGUUAGCGAUGCCGCCAGUGAUGACAAAGUUGUGAAAGUCAAUGGUGAAAUGAACGGGUCUUAUUGUGAUGGCGAAGAGCCAAUGGAUGUGGACUCUGAUUCAGCCGCAUUGAAGCACAAACUCAUAAAUUCCAAAUCAUCAAAUAGUGAUGAUGAUAAAGAAGCUGAAGCUAAAGACGAGGUGUCUGAAACCAAAGCUGCUAAUGAACCGGCAUCCAAUGAAGAAGAAAAAGUCUCUUCAAGGACGGAGGAGGACAGCGACUCUCUCUCUAACAGUAAUUCAAAAGUUAAUGGAGAAAUGAAUGGUUCUCAUUGUGAUAAAGUUGAAGCGAUGGAGGUAGAUGCUGCUGUUCCAAAUUCAAAUGUUUCUAGUACAAAGUCAUCGGAUGAAGACGCUGACACAGUGCCUGAAGAAAAAUCUGUAGCUGAAGAUAUUUCGAAAGAAGAUAGUGAUAAUGUAGACUCUUCUGUAGAUCCCAUAUCUAGUGAAAUGCCUGCAGAUGAAAAUUCUAAGGAGGGAAGUGAAGAUGGAGGCAAGGAAAAAGAUGUGGAAGAUAGGGACUCUCCAGAUGUGGAUGGCUCCAAAGAUGAAGCUGAUUCCUGCAAAAAAGAAUCCAAUGAUCUCAACUCGACGGACGUCUCUCGUGAUGGAGAUAACUCUGAAGCCACUCCAGAAAAAGGAAAGAAGUCGAAGAAGGCACCAGCAACCAUCUCACCAAUUACACCUCGACGGAGCUCACGGAACUUAAACAAACAGAAGUCCACUUCAGACAAUGAUAAGGACAUUAGUAAACUAAUCAAAGAGAGUGUGUCCCCCUCUCUGACAAUCAGACCUGUCAAAGCUAAGAAUGAUGAUGAUGAAAUAGAAGAAAUAGUUCCAGUUGAUCCGCUAGCCGGAGAUUCUUCCUCGCCUAGUCCUCAAAAAUUAAAAAAUAAAACAAUAGUAGUCAAUGAUACAAAAGAUUAG